ACGACCUUACUUGAACAGGAUCUGUUCUAUAGGUUGUACAUCUGUGUCCUUGAGUUCUAAGGAGACAAGAACCAAAGUCUGGUGGAUGAAUUGCUGCCCUGUGGCUAGAGCGUGAUUAACGGUUCGACAGAUCUCGGUCUGGCGGCUGUGGAGGAUCGUUCUUGGCAGGCUUCCAACCUGCUGGGAUGGCCACAAGGCGGUCUGACAGACU